rnacentral:sRNA from 1 species
CCUUAGGCCGGAUAGUAGCGGCAUCCUGUUGUGCCGUGGUUCGGCACAACAGAUACAGCGGAGAGCCGGAAAAGCU